AGCGUAGGCGGUCGAUUAAGUUGGAUGUGAAAAGCCCGGGCUUAACUUGGGAGGUGCAUCUGAUACUGGUUGACUAGAGUUCAGGAGAGGGAAGCGGAAUUCCUAGUGUAGCGGUGAAAUGCGUAGAUAUUAGGAGGAACACCAGUGGCGAAGGCGGCUUUCUGGACUGACACUGACGCUGAGGCUCGAAAGCGUGGGGAGCAAACA
rnacentral:rRNA from 1 species